CAGUAGCCGCGGUAAUACAGAGGGUGCAAGCGUUAAUCGGAAUUACUGGGCGUAAAGCGCGCGUAGGUGGUUUGUUAAGUUGGAUGUGAAAUCCCCGGGCUCAACCUGGGAACUGCAUCCAAAACUGGCAAGCUAGAGUAUGGUAGAGGGUGGUGGAAUUUCCUGUGUAGCGGUGAAAUGCAUAGAUAUAGGAAGGAACACCAGUGGCGAAGGCGACCACCUGGACUGAUACUGACACUGAGGUGCGAAAGCGUGGGGAGCAAACAGGAUUAGAUACCCCCGUAGCCCUGUCUCUUAUACC
rnacentral:rRNA from 1 species